rnacentral:rRNA from 1 species
AGAGUUUGAUCAUGGCUCAGGAUGAACGCUAGCGGGAGGCCUAACACAUGCAAGCCGAGCGGUAGAGAUUCUUCGGAAUCUUGAGAGCGGCGUACGGGUGCGGAACACGUGUGCAACCUACCUUUAUCUGGAGGAUAGCCUUUUCGAAAGGAAGAUUAAUACUCCAUAAUAUAUUGAUUGGCAUCAAUUGAUAUUGAAAGCUCCGGCGGAUAGAGAUGGGCACGCGCAAGAUUAGUUAGUUGGUGAGGUAACGGCUCACCAAGACGAUGAUCUUUAGGGGGCCUGAGAGGGUGAUCCCCCACACUGGUACUGAGACACGGACCAGACUCCUACGGGAGGCAGCAGUGAGGAAUAUUGGUCAAUGGGUGCAAGCCUGAACCAGCCAUCCCGCGUGAAGGACGACUGCCCUAUGGGUUGUAAACUUCUUUUGUAUAGGGAUAAACCUACCCUCGUGAGGGUAGCUGAAGGUACUAUACGAAUAAGCACCGGCUAACUCCGUG